rnacentral:rRNA from 1 species
GAUAAACGCUGGCGGCAUGCCUAAGACAUGCAAGUCGUACGAAAUAGCCCAUUGAAGUCUAAGUGCUUGCACGAAGAUGGAUUUGGAUUUCUAUUUAGUGGCGGACGGGUGAGUAACACAUGGGUAAUCUACCUUAAAGAUUGGAAUAACACAGGGAAACUUGUGCUAAUACCGAAUACGAAAUGAAAAUGAUUUUUUAUUUAAAAGAUGCCUCUAAAGCAUCGCUUAAAGAUGAGCCUGUGUCGUAUUAGCUAGUUGGUGAGGUAAUGGCUCACCAAGGCGACGAUGCGUAGCCGAACCGAGAGGUUGAUUGGCCACACUGGGACUGAGACACGGCCCAGACUCCUACGGGAGACAGCAGUUAGGAAUAUUCGUCAAUGGGGAAACCCUGAACGAGCAAUGCCGCGUGAGUGAUGAAGGUCUUAUGGAUUGUAAAACUCUGUUGUAUGGGAAGAACGACUAAAAUAGGAAAUGAAUUUUAGGUGACGGUACCAUACCAGAACG